UCUACGGGAGGCAGCAGUGAGGAAUAUUGGUCAAUGGGAGAGAUCCUGAACCAGCCAAGCCGCGUGCGGGAAGACGGCCCUAUGGGUUGUACACCUCUUUUGUCGGAGAACAAAACCCGGGACGUGUCCCGGACUGCGUGUAUCCGAAGAAAAAGCAUCGGCUAACUCCGUGCCAACAGCCGCGGUAAUACGGAGGAUGCGAGCGUUAUCCGGAUUUAUUGGGGUUAAAGGGUGGGUAGGCGGUCCGUUAAGUCAGCGGGAAAAUUGCGGGGCUCAACCCCGUCGAGCCGUUGAAACUGGCAGACGGGAGUUGGCGAGAAGUACGCGGAAUGCGUGGUGUAGCGGUGAAAGGCAUAGAUAGCGCGCAGAACUCCGAUUGCGAAGGCAGCUUACCAAGCUACUUCUGACGUUGAGGCACGAAAGCGUGGGGAGCAAACAGGAUUAGAUACCUUAGUAGUC
rnacentral:rRNA from 1 species